rnacentral:tRNA from 1 species
GCCUGGGUGGCUCAGUCGGUUAAGCGUCCGACUUCAGCUCAGGUCACGAUCUCGCAGUCCGGUCCGUGAGUUCGAGCCACGCCUCGGGCU